rnacentral:rRNA from 1 species
GAUGAACGCUGGCGGCGUGCCUAAUACAUGCAAGUCGAGCGAACGGACGAGAAGCUUGCUUCUCUGAUGUUAGCGGCGGACGGGUGAGUAACACGUGGAUAACCUACCUAUAAGACUGGGAUAACUUCGGGAAACCGGAUCUAAUACCGGAUGAUAUUUUGACCGCAUGGUUCAAAAGUGAAAGACGGUCUUGCUGUCACUUAUAGAUGGAUCCGCGCUGCAUUAGCUAGUUGGUAAGGUAACGGCUUACCAAGGCAACGAUGCAUAGCCGACCUGAGAGGGUGAUCGGCCACACUGGAACUGAGACACGGUCCAGACUCCUACGGGAGGCAGCAGUAGGGAAUCUUCCGCAAUGGGCGAAAGCCUGACGGAGCAACGCCGCGUGAGUGAUGAAGGUCUUCGGAUCGUAAAACUCUGUUAUUAGGGAAGAACAUAUGUGUAAGUAACUGUGCACAUCUUGACGGUACCUAAUCAGAAAGCCACGGCUAACUACGUG